rnacentral:lncRNA from 1 species
AACCCGGAAGGCAGCUCAGGCCUCCACACCCUGGGUUCCUCAGCGGAUGUAAUGCCCAGCCAGGAGGGAGUGUCACUGCUCCGCGUGAGGGUUAAACUGCCAUCACCUCGCUGUUUACUCCAAGGAAACUAGAGAAAGCGCAGAUCACCCUCAGAGCGAUAAACGUCCCUUGUCUCCAGGAGUUUUCUGUUCCAGUUUUCCCAGUACUACUUACUGAAAAGACUGUCCUUUCUCCAUUGAAUGGUCUUGGCACCCUUGUCAAAACCAAAUAUUUCCCUUGGCCAGCAGAGCUUACACAACUGGGGCUCCAAUACCUCCUUAAAAUUACAGAAGAGACAUGUGCUCAAUCAGAAGGUUGGAUGUGUAAUGGAUGUCUGUUGAAAGGACUGAAGACAGAAAAACCUAUCCUAAUGAUACUCCAAACCAAAUAUGUGUCUUGCUUUCCAACAUCUACAAGCUCUAUUUUUGUUGAAAAAUAAAAUCAGUAAUCUCGUUAAUUCUUUCAACAGAUGCCCGUUCUACUUUUAGCUUUGAGAAACAGCCAGUCGGUCUUAUUAAAGACCACAGUGGAAAGGGAAUAUGAUUUCUUUGAUUAGCUAUGGAUGAGGAAGGAAACUGUGGCCCCC